rnacentral:lncRNA from 1 species
GUUGCAACUUUACCAGCUUGGUAAAGGUCAGUAUGAGUGAAAUACAGGCAUAUGAAGAAAAGGUGUUCCUUAUUUGACUUUACAGAACACUAUUGGGUUACGGCAGAUCAGUUCUGCGGAAGCCCGCAAGGCGAGCAAAAUUCACGACAGGGAAAAAUUGUCAUCCACCUGACUGCAGCAUGCAGCUACAAAGGAAACCCAUACAGGUUACUCAGAAACCACCAUUAAAUUACAUACCGGUUGUGCUAGCUUAAUGUGGCCAAGAAAAAAAUAGCUGAGGGCUUUCCGUGAACAGAGCCCACUCUAUGUUGAUAGGCUUGUGUUAAUACCAGUCGAGCUUUUUUUUUUCUAUUAUUGUGAACAAACUAAUAUUUAAUUUUAAUCAACUAACAUUUAUUACCUUACUUAUUCAAUAAGGUGCCAAUGCAAAGGUUGUGGAAUACGUCACGAAGUGGCCGAUAACAGUGGUAUCUAGUGACCUAGGUCUUGUGUGGUCCUUUUUUCCGACAAAAAAGAAAAAGC